rnacentral:rRNA from 1 species
UACAGAGGGUGCGAGCGUUGUCCGGAAUCACUGGGCGUAAAGGGUGCGUAGGCGGGUCUUUAAGUCAGGGGUGAAAUCCUGGAGCUCAACUCCAGAACUGCCUUUGAUACUGAGGAUCUUGAGUUCGGGAGAGGUGAGUGGAACUGCGAGUGUUAGAGGUGAAAUUCGUAGAUAUUCGCAAGAACACCAGUGGCGAAGGCGGCUCACUGGCCCGAUACUGACGCUGAGGCACGAAAGCGUGGGGAG